rnacentral:rRNA from 1 species
CAGCAGCCGCGGGAAAACGAAGGGUGCAAGCGUUAAUCGGAAUUACUGGGCGCAAAGCGCACGUAGGCGGCUUGGUAAGUUAGAGGUGAAAGCCCGGAGCUCAACUCCGGAAUUGCCUUUAAGACUGCCGAGCUAGUAGGUGAGAGAGGUAAGUGGAAUUCCGAGUGUAGAGGUGAAAUUCGUAGGUAUUCGGAAGAACACCAGUGGCGAAGGCGGCUUACUGGCUCAUUCUAGACGCUGAGGUGCGAAAGCGUGGGGAGCAAACAGGAUUAGAUACCCCCGUAGUCCCUGUCUCUUAUAC